CUGCAAUGUUAUGAUGCCCCUUAUAAUGCCAAAACGACUUCCAUCAAUCCCAAAUUUCUCUGUGUUCUCUAAACUAUUUCCUUGGAGGCAGCUUGAACAGCAGAAAGGCAUGAUAUAACAAAUGGCAUGGUGUUCUUCCUUUGUUUCUUCCAGCAGGUCAUAUUGACUGUUACUGAGGAGAAAGGCACAGCAGGGGUAAAGAGCAGAAAAGGGGACCAGGACUGUGCCAUGGUCGAUUCAUUUGGGAAGGAGCAUAUUUACCAAUGUGGGAGUUCACAGUCUCCCUCAGUCUGCCAAAGAGGAUCCGGAACUUACAAGUCCAAUACCCUACCCCCUCACCUCCAAAAAUCCUUUCUUCCAAUAUAGGGGACAAAGCAAGUAUACAUAAAAGGAAUCGUGGUGACAUGAGAGAGGGAAGAAAGCAGCUGGGGACAUAUGUUCUAUACUGGGACAAGAAUAAAUAGACCAACAAAACACAGGAGAUCACAGAGGCAGGCCCAUCCAAAAAAGGCAUUUUAUGUAGGUUAAAGGUAACACCACCACCUAUCAGUGGGGAAAAGAAUGGCUUAACAGAUGGUUCUGGGAACCUGGCUAACUAGAUAAAUACAGAUAGAUCUCAACACUACACACGAAAGAUAGAUUCCAAAUGGAUAAAGGGCCCAAAAGUGAAAGGUAAUGCUAUGAAGUUUAUUGAAGAUGUAGACUUUCGCCUUUGUGGCAGGAAAAAAGUUUUUAACUUCAAAAGCACCAGCCAUAAGGCCCAAAGUUGGUGGGUCUGAUUACAUUAAAUUUAAGGACUUUUGUUCAACCAGAGACAUCACGACUAAGUGAACAGGGGACAAAACAGGAGACACAUGUUAAAAACAUUAGAACGAUUGCCUAUUACGGGAAGUGGUUAUGGGGAUGAAAGCAAUAAAUAAAUUAAGAGAGAGACCCUGAAUGGACAAGUGAUGAUGAUAGUACAGGAUGCAAUGAGCUGAGGGACCUGAUCCACUCAAUCCUCUGCACUUGGAGUACCACGAGAAUGGUGUGUUGGGAGAAUCGCAGGCAUUUGGUGAACAAAAGCUUCCAAACAGCUAAAAGGCAAGAGAGAGAGAAUUAGAAGGGUGUUUUCACAAGGGUUGCUAUGGAUCAUGCUUUGGGCAUAUAAUGUUAAAGACACAAGUAGAGAAUGGUCUCCCCUUUCACAUACCUUAGGCUAUUGAAUCAGGCUUCUUUCAAUAUGACACUCUUCAGGCACAGGGAUUAACCCCGGCCCCCACGGCCAAUUCCUUUUGUGUUAUGUAACUGUGCAGCUGAUAUAUAAAUAUGAGCCAGACACUGAACUAGGCUCUGAGGCUGCACAAUCCAAUGAGACACUGUGUCCUUCCUUCCAGGAACUCAGAGUAGGGGGAGAAAGAACAAAACAGUAGCAGCAUCUAACAGUUACAUAAUGCUGACUACGUGCCAGGCAGUGUUCCAAGUGCAUAACAUUAACUAUUA
rnacentral:lncRNA from 1 species